rnacentral:rRNA from 1 species
UAGGGAAUCUUCGGCAAUGGACGAAAGUCUGACCGAGCAACGCCGCGUGAGUGAAGAAGGUUUUCGGAUCGUAAAACUCUGUUGUUAGAGAAGAACAAGGACGUUAGUAACUGAACGUCCCCUGACGGUAUCUAACCAGAAAGCCAUGGCUAACUACGUGCCAGCAGCCGCGGUAAUACGUAGGUGGCAAGCGUUGUCCGGAUUUAUUGGGCGUAAAGCGAGCGCAGGCGGUUUCUUAAGUCUGAUGUGAAAGCCCCCGGCUCAACCGGGGAGGGUCAUUGGAAACGGGGAGACGUGAGUGCAGAAGAGGAGAGUGGAAUUCCAUGUGUAGCGGUGAAAUGCGUAGAUAUAUGGAGGAACACCAGUGGCGAAGGCGGCUCUCUGGUCUGUAACUGACGCUGAGGCUCGAAAGCGUGGGGAGCAAACAGG